AAGUCGUAACAAGGUUUCCGUAGGUGAACCUGCGGAAGGAUCAUUAAAAAAUAUUGAAUAUCUUAUUCAUAAACCCACUCUGAGUACUUGUACUUGUUGCUUCCGUGGGCAGUGAGCUCUUUGCUCAUGUCCGCUUUUGUAGUGGACUCACGGAAGGUAUCAAUAAAUUCCGAAUUUCGUGUCAUUAGUCUGAUUAUGUUUAUUAUAUAAACUUUAAAACUUUCAACAACGGAUCUCUUGGUUCUC
rnacentral:misc_RNA from 1 species